GACGAACGCUGGCGGCGUGCCUAAUACAUGCAAGUAGAACGCUGAAGGAGGAGCUUGCUUCUCUGGAUGAGUUUCGAACGGGUGAGUAACGCGUAGGUAACCUGCCUGGUAGCGGGGGAUAACUAUUGGAAACGAUAGCUAAUACCGCAUAAGAGUGGAUGUUGCAUGACAUUUGCUUAAAAGGUGCACUUGCAUCACUACCAGAUGGACCUGCGUUGUAUUAGCUAGUUGGUGGGGUAACGGCUCACCAAGGCGACGAUACAUAGCCGACCUGAGAGGGUGAUCGGCCACACUGGGACUGAGACACGGCCCAGACUCCUACGGGAGGCAGCAGUAGGGAAUCUUCGGCAAUGGACGGAAGUCUGACCGAGCAACGCCGCGUGAGUGAAGAAGGUUUUCGGAUCGUAAAGCUCUGUUGUAAGAGAAGAACGAGUGUGAGAGUGGAAAGUUCACACUGUGAUGUAUCUACCAGAAAGGC
rnacentral:rRNA from 1 species